GACGCACGCUGGCGGCGUGCUUAACACAUGCAAGUCGAACGGAUAGGCCCUUCUUUUGUGUGUUGCUCGAGUGGCGAACGGGUGAGUAACACGUGAGUAACCUGCCCUUGACUCUGGGAUAACUUCAGGAACCUGGGGCUAAUACCGGAUAGGAGCUCCUGCUGCAUGGUGGUGGUUGGAAAGCUUCGGCGGUUGGGGAUGGACUCGCGGCUUAUCAGCUUGUUGGUGGGGUAGUGGCUUACCAAGGCUUUGACGGGUAGCCGGCCUGAGAGGGUGACCGGCCACAUUGGGACUGAGAGACGGCCCAGACUCCUACGGGAGGCAGCAGUGGGGAAUAUUGCACAAUGGGCGGAAGCCUGAUGCAGCAACGCCGCGUGAGGGAUGACGGCCUUCGGGUUGUAAACCGCUUUCGCCUGUGACGAAGCGUGAGUGACGGUAAUGGGUAAAGAAGCACCGGCUAACUACGUG
rnacentral:rRNA from 1 species